rnacentral:lncRNA from 1 species
UCUGGGCAGCCAAGAAUGACUCCAUCAGGGCAGUCAAUCUGGAUACUUCCUCCUUAAGCUCACGAUUCUCUUGUUCCAAAUGAUCUAUCAGUCUUGAAAUGAUGGCUCUGGUGUAGUACCAGUGAGUCAGCUUGUCUUCAAAAUAAAUGAAGAACCCAGAGUUAGACCAUAGAACAAGAAGCCUGGAGCAAAACCUGCUUAUGCACAUGAUGCAUGCAAUGCUUGUGCAUAUGAUUUAUUUUUAUUUAUCAGAGGAACUUUAGAGUUAUAUUUGCAAAAUAUUGGAACUAUUAAACAUUUAUCACAUAUGGAAAUAUUGCAUCAAUAAUAUUUAGAAAUAUUUUUACACCAAAGAAGUACAGUCUUGGU